CAAGCAUUAUUCUGAACACAAUCCUUAGCUCUCCUCUUUAAAAAAAGCUAAUUUGGCUUUCCCUAGUAGUAGGAGAAGGAAAGCCUCACAUAUUAACAGCCCACCCCCCAGCCCUGUUAGUUUACCUGACACCAUUUCACAGACCUAUGGAAACAAAGCCUGACUUCGCUUUACCACAGACAUGGAGACCUGGCUGGCCAAGCAGUCCAGCUGUCUCACUCAGCAGGCACCAAGGAAGCAGGUCUGCAACCACAAGAAGAGCAGAAGCCAGCAGACCCUCCUGCCACACAUCACUGUGGAUCGUGCCAGGGAGAAGUGGGGUUUGGCUUGAUGCCACAAACAGGCUCUGGGACUAUUGUCCUGGUCUCUCUUUUGAAGCCUCCAAGACUGGACCGACGUAAACACUUGCUCUUUAGGUUCCAAAACCCAUGACGGAGACCUGUGCACUAUUCUGCUAUCUCAUCUCAGGAGAAGAGAAGAAAACUAAGAAAAAAGAAAUCAUUGUGAUAGAGUACCUGUUAGUUUUCUAGCAGACAGGCAAAGGCAAAAUGAAGUGAGCCAGGCUCCCAGAGGCUUAGCUCACUCCUG